GCAGGGACGGGGAUAAUCACUGGCACUGGUACUGGUACGGGAACUGGCACUGGUACUGGUACGGGAACUAGCACUGGUACAGGUACGGGAACUGGUACCGGUACAGGAACUGGCACUAUCACAGGAACUGGGUCUGGUAGCUGUAUGGACAAG